rnacentral:rRNA from 1 species
AGAGAGAGACAUGCGCGCAUAUCAAUAAGCGGAGGAAAAGAAACUAACAUAGGAUUCCCUUAGUAACGGCGAGUGAAGCGGGAAGAGCUCAAAUUUGAAAUCUUCAAGGUUUUACCUUGACGAAUUGUAGUUUAAAGAAGUGUUUUCUGUUGAAGUUUUGGUAAAAGUUCUUUGGAAUAGGACAUCAUAGAGGGUGAGAAUCCCGUAUUUGACCAUUAUUUUCAGCUGUGUGAUACACUUUCAAAGAGUCGGAUUGUUUGGGAAUGCAGUCCAAAAUGGGUGGUAAAUUUCAUCUAAAGCUAAAUAUUGGCGAGAGACCGAUAGCGAACAAGUACCGUGAGGGAAAGAUGAAAAGAACUUUGAAAAGAGAGUUAAACAGUACGUGAAAUUGUCAAAAGGGAAGCGUUUGACACCAGUGUUGUUUUCUCGAAAAUCAAUUAAAAAAGGCCGGAUUUUGUGUUGUAUUGACCUUAAUCAGCUUUCUUCACUCUUUUCUUGUCUUUUUUAAUGCACUUUUCGUUUAACAAGUCAACAUCAAUUUCUUUUGUUGUAAAAGAGGUCAUUGGAAGGUGGCUUUCUUUUCGGAGAAAGUGUUUAUAGCCUUUGGCCUCUGCAAUCGGAGAGAUUGAGGUCUGCAGCGUAGAUCCUUCGGGGUUAGAUACAUUUGUGCUAAGUUAUAGCCUUUCAUAGACAACUUGUUGACUAUGAUCAGUCAUGUAGCUUACUCGCUUAUGCUAUUUUACCUACGCUUAGGAUGUUGACAGCAGUAUAGACUGU